GGGGGGGGGGGGGGGGGGGCUGGGCGCGGGCAGGGCGAUGGGGGGGGGGGGCUUGCGCCGUGGCACCCGUGGGGGGCGGGUGAGUAACGCGUAAGGGACUUACCUGCAGGACUGGGGUAACAGGGGGACACUCCUGACAGGACCGGGUAAUGUCAUGGAGCUGCAUGGCUUUAUGAUGCAAGGAGACGCCUGCGGAGAGCCUUGCGUCCUAUUAGCUCGUUGGUGAGGUAAUGGCUCACCAAGGCGAAGAUAGGGAGCCGGCCUGAGAGGGUGGACGGCCACAAGGGGAAUGAGAUACGGCCCUUACUCCUACGGGAGGCAGCAGUGGGGAAUAUUGGACGAUGGGGGCAACCCUGAUCCAGCAAUUCUGUGUGCACGAAGAAGGUUUUCGGAUUGUAAAGUGCUUUCAGCAGGGAAGAAGUAAGUGACGGUACCUGCAGAAGAAGCGACGGCUAAAUACGUG
rnacentral:rRNA from 1 species